rnacentral:rRNA from 1 species
GACGAACGCUGGCGGCGUGCUUAACACAUGCAAGUCGAACGAAGAGCGAUGGAAGCUUGCUUCUAUCAAUCUUAGUGGCGAACGGGUGAGUAACGCGUAAUCAACCUGCCCUUCAGAGGGGGACAACAGUUGGAAACGACUGCUAAUACCGCAUACGAUCUAAUCUCGGCAUCGAGGAUAGAUGAAAGGUGGCCUCUACAUGUAAGCUAUCACUGAAGGAGGGGAUUGCGUCUGAUUAGCUAGUUGGUGGGGUAACGGCCCACCAAGGCGAUGAUCAGUAGCCGGUCUGAGAGGAUGAACGGCCACAUUGGGACUGAGACACGGCCCAGACUCCUACGGGAGGCAGCAGUGGGGAAUCUGCCGCAAUGGACGAAAGUCUGACGGAGCAACGCAGCGUGAGUGAUGACGGCCUUCGGGUUGUAAAGCUCUGUUAAUCGGGACGAAAGGCCUUCUUGCGAAUAGUGAGAAGGAUUGACGGUACCGGAAUAGAAAGCCACGGCUAACUACGUG